rnacentral:rRNA from 1 species
AUUGAACGCUGGCGGCAUGCUUUACACAUGCAAGUCGAACGGUAACAGGCUGCAAGGUGCUGACGAGUGGCGGACGGGGGAGUAAGGCAUCGGAACGUGCCCAGUCGUGGGGGAUAACUACUCGUAAGAGUAGCUAAUACCGCAUACGACCUAUGGAUGAAAGCGGGGGAACGCAAGGGCUCGUCCGAUUUGAGCGGCCGAUGUCAGAUUAGGUAGUUGGUGGGGUAAAGGCUCACCAAGCCAACGAUCUGUAGCUGGUCUGAGAGGACGACCAGCCACACUGGAACUGAGGCACGGCCCAGACUCCUACGGGAGGCAGCAGUGGGGAAUAUUGGACAAUGGGCGCAAGCCUGAUCCAGCAAUGCCGCGUGGAGGAAGAAGGCCUUCGGGUUGUAAACUGCUUUUGUACGGAACGAAAAGCAUCUGGUUAAUACCCGGCGGUAAUGACGGUACCGUAAGAAUAAGCACCGGCUAACUACGUG